rnacentral:rRNA from 1 species
AGAGUUUGAUCCUGGCUCAGGAUGAACGCUAGCGGGAGGCCUAACACAUGCAAGUCGAACGGGAUUGGGAGCUUGCUCCCAUGAGAGUGGCGCACGGGUGAGUAACGCGUAUGCAACCUACCUUUAACAGAGGGAUAGCCCAUAGAAAUGUGGAUUAAUACCUCAUAGUUCUAUUGAGUCGCAUGAUUUGAUAGAUAAAGCUCCGGCGGUUAAAGAUGGGCAUGCGUGACAUUAGCUAGUUGGUAAGGUAACGGCUCACCAAGGCGACGAUCCGUAGCUGGUCUGAGAGGACGACCAGCCACACUGGAACUGAGACACGGUCCAGACUCCUACGGGAGGCAGCAGUGGGGAAUUUUGGACAAUGGGGGCAACCCUGAUCCAGCCAUUCCGCGUGAGUGAAGAAGGCCUUCGGGUUGUAAAGCUCUUUCGGCAGGAACGAAACGGUGGAGGUUAAUACCUUUCAUCAAUGACGGUACCUGAAGAAGAAGCACCGGCUAACUGCGUGCCAGCAGCCGCGGUAAUACGUAGGGUGCGAGCGUUAAUCGGAAUUACUGGGCGUAAAGCGUGCGCAGGCGGUUCUAUAAGACAGAUGUGAAAUCCCUGGGCUUAACCUGGGAACUGCGUUUGUGACUGUAGGACUCGAGUGUGGCAGAGGGGGGUGGAAUUCCACGUGUAGCAGUGAAAUGCGUAGAGAUGUGGAGGAACACCGAUGGCGAAGGCAGCCCCCUGGGUUAACACUGACGCUCAUGCACGAAAGCGUGGGGAGCAAACAGGAUUAGAUACCCUGGUAGUCC